rnacentral:ncRNA from 1 species
GGAGUAAAGCUAACUAUGAGGAGUCAGCCGAUACCAUAGUACCCAGUGACGACUCGAUUGGGGAAGGGU